rnacentral:rRNA from 1 species
AACGCGAAGAACCUUACCUGGGCUCGAAAUGUUGUGGACCGGGGUAGAAAUAUCCCUUCCCCGCAAGGGGCCGCAAUAUAGGUGCUGCAUGGCUGUCGUCAGCUCGUGUCGUGAGAUGUUGGGUUAAGUCCCGCAACGAGCGCAACCCUUAUCUUCAGUUGCUACCAUUUAGUUGAGCACUCUGACGAAACCGCCUCGGAUAACGGGGAGGAAGGUGGGGAUGACGUCAAGUCCUCAUGGCCUUUAUGUCCAGGGCUACACACGUGCUACAAUGGCCGGUACAAACCGUCGCAAACCCGCGAGGGGGAGCUAAUCGGAAAAAGCCGGCCUCAGUUCGGAUUAGAGUCUGCAACUCGACUCUAUGAAGCUGGAAUCGCUAGUAAUCGCGGAUCAGAACGCCGCGGUGAAUACGUUCCCGGGCCUUGUA